GGGCGGGGCCCUGCGGGGCGGACCCGGGCGGGCCCCAGUGCCUGGCCGCGGGUCCCGCGGGCGGGAGCCGCCGCCGGCACGCAGGGCCCGCGGGCCGGGUGCAGAGUCUCACGGCCCUUGGGGCUCGAGGGCCCCACAGCGCCCCUCUGCCCCCAGGCGACCGUCCGGACCGAGCCUCCAAAGGCUCAGAGCGGAAUUUGCUCCCACCUCCUCCUGGUAAUCCAAAAGGCUGACCCUUGGCCCCUGCUGGCCCUGCUGGCUGGCUCCCACCCACCCUGG